CCCUUAGAUGUUCUGGGCCGCACGCGUGCUACACUGAGUGGAUCAGCGGGUCAGGUUGCGCGAAAGUGUUUCCUAAUCUUUAAAUCCGCUCGUGAUGGGGAUUGACGGUUGCAAUUUUCCGUCAUGAACGAGGAAUACCUUGUAAGCGCGGGUCAUCAUCCCGCGCUGAAUACGUCCCUGCCCUUUGUACACACCGCCCGUCGCAUCUACCGAUUGAAUGGAGAGGCAAAAUCUUCGGACCGUGACGCUUGGGAGUCAAAUCUCGGGCUGUCGUGGGAAGUGGAUUAAACCUUUCUAUUUAGAGGAAGGUAAAGUCGUAACA
rnacentral:rRNA from 1 species